rnacentral:rRNA from 1 species
CACGUAGGGGGCGAGCGUUGUCCGGAUUUAUUGGGCGUAAAGAGCUCGUAGGCGGCUCGGUAAGUCGGGUGUGAAACCUCCAGGCUCAACCUGGAGACGCCACCCGAUACUGCCGUGGCUAGAGUCCGGUAGAGGAGCGUAGAAUUCCUGGUGUAGCGGUGAAAUGCGCAGAUAUCAGGAGGAAUACCAGCGGCGAAGGCGGCGCUCUGGGCCGGUACUGACGCUGAGGAGCGAAAUCGUGGGGAGCAAACAGG